rnacentral:lncRNA from 1 species
GUGUGGAGUCAAUAAGAAGAAAUUUAGCCAAACUUAUCAUUUAUGUGCCUAAGCAAUAUACAAUAUAAAAGACAUAGUCCCUUACACAAGGGACUCAGAGAAAGUCACUUAGGAUACACAUAACAUAAACCAUCAAAUGUUAAUGCUUAGAAAGCUUGAAGACAUAACAGCCUUAGGAAGGCUAAAGAUAUAACAAUUAUCUAAAUAAUUGAAGGUUGCGGCCGGGCACAGUGGCUCAUACCUAUAAUCUCUCUCCCACUUUCAUAUGCUAUUCUCAAAGGUAAAAGAAACCAUUAUAACAAUGAUGGUUGAACCAAGGCUCAGUUGAACAUUUUUUUUCUGAAAGUGAGUUAGCUUGAAGAUUCUAAGUACAGUAGAAUUUGUAAGCAGUGUACACAUGAGAAAAGUGCAUUUAGUUUAGGCUUUAUAUUCCAUGUUUUUGUCUGUUGAGACGGGGUCUCCCUUUGUUGAGCAGGUUAGAGUGCAGUGAUGUGAUCAUGACUCACUGCAGCCUCAACCACCUGGACUCAAGCAAUUCUACCACCUCAGCCUACAAAGUAGCCGGGACCACAGAUGUGAGCCACCAUGCCCAGUUAAUUUUUUGAUUAUUUGUAGAGAUGAGGUCUAUGUUGCCCAGGCUGGUCUCCAACUCCUGAGCUCAAGCGAUCCUCCCGCCUCAGCCUCCAAAAGUGCUGGGAGUACAGGUGUGAGUCACUGCACCCAGGCAAAAUUCUACUUUUUUUAGAAUCUCAUGGGAGAGAUGAGGGGGAAAAAUAAUAAGCAUUUGACAUCUUUUAAAUAAGUCUUUGAGCUCUCUUUAUAAUUUUCUCUUGAGUAUUUGCUCGUCCUUUGUAAAACUAUGGAAACACAAAAUACAUAUGAUGCUCACAAUGCUCUAGCAUUCAAAAAUUCCAGAGUAGUUUUAAUCAUUAUCUGGUCAGGAGUAACACUAGCAUUAAUAAUUUGAAUAAUGCAUUAAAAGAAAAAAAAAAGCUGUGAGCAGUGGCUCCCGGCUAAAAAUUGUUUUAGAG